UUCCCGAGCAUUCUUGCAAGUCCUGUGGCUUGGAUCUCGCAGCUGGGAAGAAACAGUCUCUUGAAUACAAAUGGCAACACUGCAUUUCUCAAGCAGCUUCCACCCAAGGGUAGCAAACACCAUGCAGUUUACAUUUUGUACUGUUGCUUUUUGUGUUUGGAGGAAAAGAUGAGAAGUGUUCUUGCUCCACCAGGUUCCAGAUAACAUCAUGAUGCCAACCUGACUUCCCUAAGCAGACAUGUGCCCUAGAGCCUCACCUCCCCAGAUCCCUGCCCCCCUUGGAAAAAAAAGAGACAGGCUGGGAGUAUGGAUCGACCUGCCAAUGCUCAUGUUCAGCGGAGAAGCAAUUACAGAAGCCAGACCUUCCACCCUCUGCAUCCCACAAUGACCUUGGGUCCAUACUCCCAGAGGGUUAAAGAAUAGAAGAGCUAUCAGGGCCUCCUGAUACGGAUACAGAGUUCUAGUGGUGUAAAUUGUGUGGUAGUGUACCCCUCUUAUCCUAUAAUCUUCUCAAUAUUUCCAUUUUAUAAAUAAAAUUAUAUUAAAAAUGUAAAUUAAUGUUUUUGCCCACACUUACUAAGCUCCCACUCCUUUCAAUCUUCCCAAAUAAUUAUUAAGCCACUAACAGUUGAACUCCAUUAGAUAUAUAACUCUUUGUGAAAACAA